rnacentral:rRNA from 1 species
GACGGAGGGUGCUAGCGUUGUUCGGAAUCACUGGGCGUAAAGGGCGCGUAGGCGGCCGCCCCGCGUCGGACGUGAAAAGCCCGGGGCUCAACCCCGGAACGGCGUCCGACUACGGGGCGGCUCGAGGCCGGGAGAGGGGGGUGGAAUACCCAGUGUAGAGGUGAAAUUCGUAGAUAUUGGGUGGAACACCGGUGGCGAAAGCGGCCCCCUGGCCCGGUCCUGACGCUGAGGCGCGAAAGCGUGGGGAGCAAACAGG